CAAUAGCGUAUAUUAAAGUUGUUGCAGUUAAAAAGCUCGUAGUUGGACCUUGGACCUGGACAGGCGGUCCGCCUCACGGCGUGUACUGUCUUGCUGGGUCUUUCCUCUUGGUGAUCUGUUGUUUCGGCAGCAGGGAACCAGGACUUUUACUUUGAAAAAAUUAGAGUGUUCAAAGCAGGCUCGACGCCGGAAUAUAUUAGCAUGGAAUAAUAAAAUAGGACGUGCGGUUCUAUUUUGUUGGUUUUUGGAAUCGCCGUAAUGAUUAAUAGGGACAGUCGGGGGCAUUAGUACUCACAUGCUAGAGGUGAGAUUCUUGGAUUUUGUGAAGACUAACUUCUGCGAAAGCAUUUGCCAAGGAUGUUUUCAUUAA
rnacentral:rRNA from 1 species